rnacentral:rRNA from 1 species
UACGUAGGGUGCGAGCGUUGUCCGGAAUUAUUGGGCGUAAAGUGCUCGUAGGCGGUCUGUUGCGUCAGGAGUGAAAACUCGGGGCUUAACCCCGAGCCUGCUUCUGAUACGGGCAGACUAGAGGUAUGCAGGGGAGAACGGAAUUCCUGGUGUAGCGGUGAAAUGCGCAGAUAUCAGGAGGAACACCGGUGGCGAAGGCGGUUCUCUGGGCAUUACCUGACGCUGAGGAGCGAAAGUGUGGGGAGCGAACAGG